rnacentral:lncRNA from 1 species
AUGUGUGGUCCGGGCAGUGUGUGGUCUGUGCAGUGUGUGUGGUCCGGGCAGUGUGUGGUCUGUGCAGUGUGUGUGGUCCGGGCAGUGUGUGUGGUCCGGUCAGUGUGUGUGGUCCGGGCAGUGUGUGUGGUCUGGGCAGUGUGUGGUCUGUGCAGUGUGUGGUCUGGGCAGUGUGUGGUCCGGGCAGUGUGUGGUCCGGGCAGGGUGUGUGAUCCGUGCAGUGUGUGUGGUCCGGGCAGUGUGUGGUCUGUGCAGUGUGUGUGCUCCGGGCAGUAUGUGUGGUCCGGGCAGUGUGUGGUCUGUGCAGUGUGUGUGGUCCGGGCAGUGUGUGGUCUGUGCAGUGUGUGUGGUCUGGGCAGUGUGUGCGGUCCGGGCAGUGUGUGGGGUCCGGGCAGUGUGUGCGGUCCGGGCAGUGUGUGCGGUCCGGGCAGUGUGUGGUCUGGGCAGUGUGUGGUCCGGGCAGUGUGUGUGGUCCGGGCAGUGUGUGGUCCGGGCAGUGUGUGGUCCGGGCAGUGUGUGGUCUGGGCAGUGUGUGGUCCGGACAGUGUGUGGUCUGGGCAGUGUGUGGUCCAGGCAGUGUGUGUGAUCCGUGCAGUGUGUGUGGUCCGGGCAGUGUGUGUGAUCCGUGCAGUGUGUGUGGUCCGGGCAGUGUGUGGUCUGGGCAGUGUGUGGUCUGUGCAGUGUGUGGUCCGGGCAGUGUGUGGUCCGGGCAGGGUGUGUGAUCCGUGCAGUGUGUGUGGUCCUGGCAGUAUGUGUGGUCCGGGCAGUGUGUGGUCUGUGCAGUGUGUGUGGUCUGGGCAGUGUGUGGUCUGUGCAGUGUGUGUGGUCUGUGCAGUGUGUGUGGUCCGGGCAGUGUGUGGUCUGGGCAGUGUGUGGUCUGUGCAGUGUGUGUGGUCCGGGCAGUGUGUGGCCCGGGCAGUGUGUGGUCCGGGCAGUGUGUGUGAUCCGUGCAGUGUGUGUGGUCUGUGCAGUGUGUGUGUGUCCGGGCAGUGUGUGUGGUCCGGGCAGGGUAUGUGCUCCGGGCAGUGUGUGGUCCGGGCAGUGUGUGGUCUGGGCAGUGUGUGUGAUCCGGGCAGUGUGUGUGGUCCGGGCAGUGUGUGUGGUCUGUGCAGUGUGUGUGGUCCGGCAGUGUGUGUGAUCCGGGCAGUGUGUGUGGUCCGGGCAGUGUGUGUGGUCUGUGCAGUGUGUGUGGUCUGGGCAGUGUGUGGUCCGGGCAGUGUGUGGUCUGGGCAGUGUGUGUGGUCUGGGCAGUGUGUUGUCCUGGCAGUGUGUGUGAUAUGUGCAGUGUGUGGUCCGGGCAGGGUGUGUGUCCGGGCAGUGUGUGUGGUCCGGCAGGGUAUGUGCUCCGGGCAGUGUGUGGUCCGGGCAGUGUGUGGUCUGGGCAGUGUGUGUGAUCCGGCAGUGUGUGUGGUCUGGGUAGUGUGUGUGAUUCGUGCACUGUGUGUGGUCCGGGCAGUGUGUGUGGUCCGGGCAGCGUGUGGUCCGGGCAGUGUGUGUGAUCUGUGCAGUGUGUGGUCCGGGCAGUGUGUGUGGUCCGGGCAGUGUGUGCGGUCCGGACAGUGUGUGUGGUCCGGGCAGUGUGUGGUCUGGGCAGUGUGUGGUCCGGGCAGUGUGUGUGGUCCGGGCAGUGUGUGUGGUCCGGGCAGUGUGUGGUCCGGGCAGUGUGUGUGGUCCGGGCAGUGUGUGUGGUCCGGGCAGUGUGUGGUCCGGCAGUGUGUCGUCUGUGCAGGUUGUGUGGUCCGGGCAGUGUGUGUGAUCCGGGCAGUUUGUGUGAUCUGUGCAGUUUGUGGUCCGGGCAGUGUGUGUGGUCUCUGCAGUGUGUGUGGUCCGGGCAGUGUGUAG